GUUAGACGAUGAGGGUAAUUAUGAAAUUAGCUUAUGCGAAUUACCCACAUGAAACACCUUAUUAAUUACUAGAUACAGUUUGGAUUAUUAAAACUGUAACCUACACCCUAGGGCUAAAACCCUAGUUAUAGUAAAAUAGAAAUUCUCGAUGUCAGAAAUGAAUUCUUCAGCUUCAACAUUAUUUCCCAACGUUUUAUGAUUUCCUUUUUGUGGUCGGAUUAACAUUGUAUUCGUUUUCAGGAAAGGAGAAGGGAAGUGUGGGAACCUGCAAAUAUAGGCUGGCACAACAGUUGUACACGAAAGCAAAGCAGAUGAGUGAAAGGAACUGAACCUAUUUAAUUUAAAAGAUGUCUUCAAUCUUAGCAUUAACAGAGAGAAAGGUACAGUACACGAGAAGAAGAAGAAGAAGAAGGAGAAGAAGAAAAAGAAGAAGAAGAAGAAGAAGAAGAAGAAACAAGGGCAUUAACACUAGCCUUUCCCCUUGUCUUACACUGCCCUAAAAAAGAACCCUCAUUUAGAAACAUCACUGAAAAGGCUAAAGCCAAUGCUCUCUAUUCUCAUCAUCAUUCACUAUAAUAAUAUUCAAGAAAAAAAGCAAAAGCUAAUAAUAAUAAUAAUAAUAAUAUCCUUCUUACAGUCAUUUAGCAUUUCAAAACAUGUAGUAACUUACACCCUAACUGGUUUUGUUUCUUUCUUUCUCCCCUAAUUGUGAAGAGGAUUAGGACCUGUAUGAACUAUUCUCUUUUCAUCA